rnacentral:lncRNA from 1 species
UCACAUUUUCUCACCUCUCUCGCAUCCAUUUGUUCGAAAUCAGAGGUAUGAGGGUCAACCCAAAACUCAGCACAAUCUUCUCGCCUCUCUUUGGACUUCCACCUCUUCGAAAUCGGAGUUCAGAAUUCUGAGCUUAACCCAGAAACCCAAAGCUCACAGAGCUUUCUCGACAUCUUUCUCUUCCAAAUAAGAGUAGUGAUGCAAUGGACUGAUGAUUUUUGGUAUUUAUAUGUGGGUAUUUUAGUAAUUUUGGUUUUGUGCAUGGUGUGCGUGGCCGGGUUGUCCCAUUUUUGUCCCAAGAUUAAGAAAUUAUUCCAUUUUAGGGUAUUUCCCUAUUUUAUAUGCUUGUUUUUUCAAUAAAAUUUGAUAUAAUAUACAAUAAUAAAAAAACUCAAAUUGCUGUUUUAUUUCAUAGACACACUUAAACUGGUUUUAUUUAUUUCUAAAUUUAAGUAUUUACUUUAAUAUUUAAAUUUUCUUGCUCAAGUUAUAGUUUCUUCUCUUCAGAAUAUGCAAGUGGAGUUGUGCAUAAUGGGAAUGAGCCAGAAGGAAGUAGAAACAAAUUGUUAGGAGCAUUUUCAAUCUAUGAAACUAGAAUUAACAUGAUUAAAGUCAAUAUUUUACAUCAAAGUACAUCUUCCUAACCAUAAUAACCAACCUAAACAAAAUAAUCAUGCUCUGCCAAAACAUCGUAUUAUCAACAAAAUAUCCAUAACAUGCCUAUACAUCAUAUUAUCUACAAAAUAUUUCUAACCUACCCAAACAUCAUAAUAACAACAAAAAGUGCUCAUUCCUAAUCAUCAUGGUGUCAACUAGUUAGUCAUUAGAUUUACAAAACAUUCACAAUCUUCUCAAAUAUGUCAUUUGGCAGCAAGCAGCUCAUACCAAAAAACUAGCAUUCACAAUCUUCGGAUAGUCACUUAGAUGCCAUUAUGCAUUCAAGUCUGCAACACUAAAGUUCUCAUGCUCCACGAACAAUUCCAAAUACCCACAUAUCACUAUAUUAAUAAUUCCGAAAGCAUUUCCACAAUAACUCAUGGUUUUUAUUUAUCAGAAAAUAAGAAUAUUUGGAAACACAUUACAUAAACCACUCACCUCAAUAUUAUGAGCUUUGACAAGGCAAUCGCAUACCUCAAACCCUAGCUUUCUCUCUUUUUAUUCUUUUCUAAACUCUUUUUAAACAUACAUAUACAUACAUACACGCACUAACACGUUGCAUGAAAGAAUGCAAUGACACCGCCUAUUUCUACCUGCCAUUAUAUGUCUCCUAAUAUGCGAUGAAUGAAAGAGUGCAAUGCAACCCUCUAUUUAUAGUAGAAAUAGGCGGUGUCAAACUUGCUUUCAACUAGAUGGUUUUGCGGCUAAAGAUGACUAAGGUAUUGCAUGUACAAGGUGUCAAAUGCAUAGCUAAUAUGCAUGAAACGUCCAAUUAAUAACUUCAAUUAGUAUGCAUAAUUGAGUGCUAUGUCAGCACUUCUCAUACAAACUAGACAUGUUGCAACCUAGUCAUCAAUUCUAGAGCCAAGAAGAAGUUAACUGAGAAUGGUAGAAAGGUAUUUAUUUGAAUGAGAUGAGAAUAAUGGGUAUAUCGGACAUGUACAUAAAAUUGGGCUUCUAAUAAACUCUUUAAAAUAAAAUAGAAAUAUAUGUAUAAAAUAAAUAAAUAAUUAUAAAUAUCUAAUUUAAA